rnacentral:lncRNA from 1 species
GGACUGUGAGGAGGUAGUAGGAGAUGCAGGAAGAGGUGGGCAGGAACUGGGAGAUGAAGGAAGAGGCGAGCAUGGACUGUGGAUUGGAGGAAGAGGUGAGCAAGCACCAGAAGCUGGAUGGAGAGGUGAGCAUGCACCAGAAGCUGGGUGAAGAGGUGAGCAAGCAGCAGAAGCUGGAAGAAGAGGAGAGCAAGUAGCAGAAGCUGGAGGAAGAGGUAAGGGAUGUGGUGGGCUCCUCAACCCAUCCAUCUUUCUUACUGGUGACCUCGGGCUAAAACCAAAUUCUCUAGAAUUUCCAUUGCUCACAGCGAAGACAUGGCCUUUUGGGACAG